UACAGAGGUCCCAAGCGUUGUUCGGAUUCAUUGGGCGUAAAGGGUGCGUAGGUGGCGCUGUAAGUCGGGUGUGAAAUUCGGAGCUUAACUCCGAAACUGCAUUCGAUACUGCGGUGCUUGAGGACUGGAGAGGAGACUGGAAUUCAUGGUGUAGCAGUGAAAUGCGUAGAGAUCAUGAGGAAGACCAGUGGCGAAGGCGGGUCUCUGGACAGUUCCUGACACUGAGGCACGAAGGCCAGGGGAGCAAACGGG
rnacentral:rRNA from 1 species